rnacentral:rRNA from 1 species
AAGCACGCCAAGGUUAAUCCGAGUGGUUUCUGCUAAAGAAACCUUUUGCUAGUCCUAGAAACACUAGUGAAUAAGGGGUGGGCAAGUUCUGGUGUCAGCCGCCGCGGUAAAACCAGCCACCUCAAGUGGUCAGGAUGAUUAUUGGGCCUAAAGCAUCCGUAGCUCGUUUUGUAAGUUUUCGGUUAAAUCCAUACGCUUAACGUAUGGGCUGCCGGGAAUACUGCAUAACUAGGAAGUGGGAGAGGUAGACGGUACUCGGUAGGAAGGGGUAAAAUCCUUUGAUCUAUUGAUGACCACCUGUGGCGAAGGCGGUCUACCAGAACACGUUCGACGGUGAGGGAUGAAAGCUGGGGGAGCAAACCGGAUUAGAUACCCGGGUAGUCCCAGCUGUAAACUAUGCAAACUCAGUGAUGCAUUGGCUUGUGGCCAAUGCAGUGCUGCAGGGAAGCCGUUAAGUUUGCCGCCUGGGAAGUACGUACGCAAGUAUGAAACUUAA